UACGUAGGGUGCAAGCGUUAAUCGGAAUUACUGGGCGUAAAGCGUGCGCAGGCGGUGAUGUAAGACAGGUGUGAAGUCCCCGGGCUUAACCUGGGAACUGCAUUUGUGACUGCAUCGCUGGAGUGCGGCAGAGGGGGAUGGAAUUCCGCGUGUAGCAGUGAAAUGCGUAGAUAUGCGGAGGAACACCGAUGGCGAAGGCAAUCCCCUGGGCCUGCACUGACGCCCAUGCACGAAAGCGUGGGGAGCAAACAGG
rnacentral:rRNA from 1 species